AAUCUGACAUACUAUAGCAUCGACAACACAGCUGACAGGUUAGGCUCUCUGUCAAUACACGUGCUAGAAAGAGGUUUGCUAAUCGUUUGAAGACCAC